GACGAACGCUGGCGGCGGGCUUAACACAUGCAAGUCGAACGGAAAGGCGCUGCUUGUGUGUGGUGCUCGCGUGGCGAGCGGGUGAGAAACACGUGAGUCACCUGCCCUUUACUUUGGGAUAACUUCAGGAAACUGCGGCUACUACCGGAUAGGAGCUCCUGCUGCAUGGUGGGGGUUGGACAGUUUCGGCGGUUGGGGAUGGACUCGCGGCUUAUCAGCUGGUUGGUGGGGUAGUGGCUUACCCAGGCUUCGACGGGUAGCCGGCCUGAGAGGGUGACCGGCGACAUUGGGCCUGAGAGACGGACCAGACUCCAACGGGAGGCAGCAGUGGGGAAUAUUGUACAAUGGGGGGAAGUGUGAUGCAGAAACGUCGCGUGCGGGAUGACGGCCUUCGGGUGGUAAACCGCUGUCGCCUGUGACGAAGCGGGAGUGACGGUAAUGGGUAAAGAAGCACCGGCUAACUACGUG
rnacentral:rRNA from 1 species